rnacentral:rRNA from 1 species
GACGAACGCUGGCGGCGUGCUUAACACAUGCAAGUCGAGCGGUAAGGCCCUUUCGGGGGUACACGAGCGGCGAACGGGUGAGUAACACGUGGGUGACCUGCCCUUAGCUCUGGGAUAAGCCUGGGAAACUGGGUCUAAUACCGGAUAUGACUCCAUGACGCAUGUUGUGGGGUGGAAAGCCUUGUGCGGCUAGGGAUGGGCCUGCGGCCUAUCAGCUUGUUGGUGGGGUGAUGGCCCUACCAAGGCGACGACGGGUAGCCGGCCUGAGAGGGCGACCGGCCACACUGGGACUGAGACACGGCCCAGACUCCUACGGGAGGCAGCAGUGGGGAAUCUUGCGCAAUGGGCGAAAGCCUGACGCAGCGACGCCGCGUGGGGAUGACGGCCUCGGUGUAA